CCAAAGGCUCUUUUAAGAGCCACCCACAAACACUAAGAACCUUUU
rnacentral:ncRNA from 1 species